UACGUAGGUCCCGAGCGUUGUCCGGACUUAUUGGGCGUAAAGCGAGCGCAGGUGGUUUAUUAAGUCUGGUGUAAAAGGCAGUGGCUCAACCAUUGUAUGCAUUGGAAACUGGUAGACUUGAGUGCAGGAGAGGAGAGUGGAAUUCCAUGUAUAGCGGUGAAAUGCGUAGAUAUAUGGAGGAACACCGGUGGCGAAAGCGGCUCUCUGGCCUGUAACUGACACUGAGGCUCGAAAGCGUGGGGAGCAAACAGG
rnacentral:rRNA from 1 species